GACGAACGCUGGCGGCGUGCUUAACACAUGCAAGUCGAACGGAAAGGCGCUGCUUUUGUGGGGUGCUCGAGUGGCGAACGGGUGAGUAACACGUGAGUAACCUCUCCUUGUCUUUGGGAUAAAUUCAGGAAACUGGGGCUAUUACAGGAUAGGAGCUCCUGCUGCAUGGUGGGGGUUGGUAAGUUUCGGCUGUUGGGGCUGGAAUCGCGGCUUAUCAGCUUGUUGGUGGGGUAGUGGCUUACCAAGGCUUUGACGGGUAGCCGGCCUGGGAGGGUGACCGGCCACAAGGGGACUGAGAGACGGCGCAGAAUCCUACGUGAGGCAGCAGGGGGGAAUAUGGCACAGCGGGCGGAAGCCUGAUGUGGCAACGCCGCGUGCGUGAAGCCGUCUUUCUGGGUAUGAACCGCUUUGGCCUGAGACGAAGCGGGAGUGACGGUAAUGAGUAAAGAAGCACCGGCUAACUACGUG
rnacentral:rRNA from 1 species